GUCCAAGAUAAUGAGCGAGCGGAGGACAUCUGAGAAAAUCUAGAAUUAACCACUCACACUCAAGACUCAAGUUAGCAACGCUUAACGGUGACGUUAACCUGGCUGAAUACCAUUGGAUCAGUCCGUUCGUUGAUCUUGCAGCCGGGAGCCGGGAGUACAAUGGCAAACGUUGACGCGGAUACACCACUUAACUAGGCGUUCCUACGUAAACAUCCGGCUGACUGUUGCUGUAACACUUUGUCGUCGCUUAUCAUUGAGGUCAGGACGCCCGAGAAGCCGGAACGGGUUGUGGGGAUUUGGAUCAUCCGUGAGAUUCUUUACGGGAAGUAUUCUGAAACAGUGACUAACAUUACGAAAGACAACAGAACUUCACCAACACAUCGUUCAACAAUCAAUUACAUUUUAAUCCAUAUUAUUUAUUUUCAGCUACUUAAACAUAAUUACUGAUUGGAGCUAUUUCCUUAAUCUGAAGAUGCCGGCGAUAUCGAGCUAAGCCCCCACAAACAAGCUAUACCGGGCCUUUCUUGAAAGCUGAUGACCGGAUCGUGUACAUAAGAUUCAAAUUCGGCGAGCAGCCCGAUAAAAAUGGUAUACGUAUUCCGAAUUCUUUUGAAGUUGAGAAGGUAAAGGAGAAAGUGAGGAUUUUUGAAAACAUCACAAGGCAGCAAGUUCACCAAAAAAUGUUUUUGCUGCAAAUUGAAACACCAUCUACGCCUGCCGAUAGGUGAUCAACAAACUCCAACCACAACCAUUAAACACUUAGCACGUUGGAGGAAAUCCACACUCGGUUUCACUCGAUGAUGGCACUAAUCACUAAGGUGAGCUCGUGUCCCCAAAAACAAAACCGCGGCGAGAGAUGGCUGAAUUCUUCCGACUGCUCCGUUUGCUCACGCACUGCAGGCCGAAAUCGGUUCAUCACGUCUUCGCGGAAAGAUUUGCAGACUGCCCAAUAUGCGAAGAACUACUUUGUAUACCGGUUCUAAAGGGUCGGGACGAGACGAGGAUGAUUACGUGCCACGCUCAUCAGCUCAAGUGUAUCGGAAUGCGGCUUACAUAUCGGUUACUUCGUCGCUUCUGAUCAGCUGUCACUCGAUUAUGGGCACUUCGAAUCGAGCUCUAACUGCCAUUUAAUCGCUUUUAGCACUCAAUUUCAUCGCACACAAAACACGCACGCUGCUGUCCGUAAAAAAAUAACUAUUUGCCACUGCUGCUGCCACUGUUCACCAGAGUGUUGUCCUCCACAUCAACAACAUCAACUGCUGGCUGCGGUGUGGCUUAGCGAAAAUGCGAUGACGCCCCGCCAUGUUUCACAGCACGUCAGCGGAGUCUCUGCUGACGCUUUCUGUUGUUUUUGCUGUUGCUGCUUUUGAUGUUGAUGAUGGGUGGAACUACUAGUGAUGAUGACGCUUGCGGCGGUGGAGCGACUUUCUAAAAUGGCACCAACCCUCACAAUAAAUAUAAUGGCGACACGUCACAUGAAUGCCCACAGAAAUUGGCAGCCCAGGGCCCGGUACAGUACGGUACAGUACAGUCGGUUCUAGAAACUCGGUCGAAGCUUCUUGUUUUGAAUCACAAAUUUGCAAUGCAGACCGCAGCAAUGCAGUCGACAAUCUGAUCGACGCAUUUACGUCACUGAACACCCCCCGGCCUAAACUGGACUAUAGGUUCCUAUAGCUCGUUCGACCGGUCGCAAAAAAUGCCAGCUACCGUUGUCUGUGGUCUACUGAGCUCGGUUUAAGUCACACAUUAGCUUGACAUACCUACCCGCUCGCUCUUAAUGGGUACAUAUCUACUCUGUGAGCCGCAAAGAUCAAGAUAUAGUGAUAUAAAAAAGUCACAAUAACACAAUAUCAUGCCGCGAAUAGUGCACACAGCGUUUAAUUAUAAUUCUAAGAAUUUUUGCCGCUCUAACCAGUUUGCUGAUCGAUACGCUGAUGUGAGCGCCGCCAGUGUUGUGUUUAGGAUUAGGCAGGGUAAUUUUAAUUUUUGUAGAGGAUUUCUUGAAACGUGAAAUCUGACGCAACUGGUUAAAAUGCUUUUCGUGAGAUAAUUAGGUAGUCGAAGAUAAUCAGAUGAAUCGAAAAUUUAAUGUG